rnacentral:sRNA from 1 species
UGUCAUAGAAACUAUAUAGCAUUGGUUUUUAGCUAUGAUUUUGAUUCAGUUUUUAAAAUAUUUAAUUUUUAUUAUAUCAGCCCACACUGAACAUUGGUUUUUCAGCAGAUAAUGCGUCUUCCAAGUGCUCCAAGGUGAAGAGCCACAGAGAAGAAUACUACAUCUUAAGUCAUACCCUGAAAUUACUGAAUGAAUUACCUGUGGCCACGUAAACACUCUGCUUCAAUAGGUAAAGUGCAACAGACAAUCCAGUUAUUCAGAACUAAGUUUUUAGUUAGCAUUUGUUAUUCACUGAAGUAGUUUGCAAUUACAGUUGUCUCUAGGUAUCCAUGGGGGAUUGGUUCCAGAACUCCCUGCUGAUAACAAAAUUCAUGGAUGCUCAAGCGCCUUACAUAACGUGGUGUAGUAUUUGCAAAUAACCUAUGCCCAUCCUCAAGUAUACUUUGUAUCAUCUCUAAACAUAUAAUACCUAAUAUGUAAAUGCUAUGUAAUUAGUUGUUAUACUGUAUUUAGUGAAUAAUGACAAGAAAAAAAAGUGUGUACCUGUUUAGUACAGACACUACUCUAUACUGAAUUUUUUCUGAAUAUUUUCCAUCCAGGGUUGGUUGAAUCCACAGAUGUGUAACUUACAAAUAUGAAGGGCUGACUGUACUUAGUAGUUAAUUCAGAUUUAUCACAGUGAUCUGAAGUAAUUUUGCAGUUUACAAGCAUUUUUUUCGUUCUAAAAGAAAAAAACAAAAAGAAUAUUGGUGAUGUGAUAUUUAUGUAAUGUGAUGAUAUUAUAAUGGCCACAUUUUAAAACUUGAGAAUGUCCUACGUUCACACACUGUUGGUUUCUAGAUCCACAAGGCUUCUGUAUACAGAUCAUGGUCCUCGGCAUUGCUUCUUGUAAUUUUUCCACCCCAAAGGAGAGCUACUGUACAGACUGUACUUGCGGAAUGCAGCCUUCAUUAAAUUAAGUUUAUUAACAUGCAA